rnacentral:sRNA from 1 species
CCUCUCCCUAGUUCAGUGGCUCGAGGUGCCAAAGCAAGGUGCUCAAGGUGUCACCUGGUCACAAGCCCUCCAACUGGACAACUGCGGGGCACCAGGGGAAACCUGCCUGAUAUCCCAGUGCCACUGGAAGAAAAGGACCUAGCCAGGAGGGCGAGGGGGACACGAGGAAAGACUAGUUGAGAGACAGACCCCCCCGGAAUUCUGAGCACCAAAAAUCUGGCCAUCCCUCUCCAACAUCAACUUGUCCAAGAAGGUUCAGGAAGGCAUCCAGAUCCCGAACAAUGGGAGUGCGCCCCUGCUCGUGGAUGUGCAGGUGUUUGUCUCCAACGUGUUUAAUGUGGUAAGUGCCGCUAGGCCAAGGGCCCCAAGUGCUGAGCUGGGCAGGGAACAGGACUCAGCCCUGGAUAGUGCUGGGGUCUCCUGCCUCGUUCUUUCAACACAGCGCUCACCCUGAGGUGACACAUUGCCCUUCCCCCAGGACAUCCUGCGAUACACAAUGUCCUCCAUGCUGCUGCUUAGGCUGGUGAGCUUCUAUCCCUGGGGAAGUGGGAUGGG